rnacentral:rRNA from 1 species
CCUACGGGUGGCUGCAGUGGGGAAUAUUGCGCAAUGGGCGAGAGCCUGACGCAGCGACGCCGCGUGGAGGAUGACGGCCUUCGGGUUGUAAACUCCUGUUGCCCGGGACGAACGACACCAUUUGUGGUGUGUGACGGUACCGGGUGAGGAAGCACCGGCUAACUCUGUGCCAGCAGCCGCGGUAAUACAGAGGGUGCGAGCGUUGUCCGGAAUCACUGGGCGUAAAGGGCGCGUAGGCGGCUUCUUAAGCGUGUGGUGAAAGCUCAGGGCUCAAC